CGUGCAGGUGGUUUGGUAAGUUGGAUGUGAAAUCUCCCGGCUCAACUGGGAGAGGUCGUUCAAAACUGCCAGGCUAGAGGACGGUAGAGGAAAGUGGAAUUCCCGGUGUAGUGGUGAAAUGCGUAGAUAUCGGGAGGAACACCAGUGGCGAAAGCGACUUUCUGGCCCGUUCCUGACACUAAGACGCGAAAGCUAGGGUAGCAAACG
rnacentral:rRNA from 1 species